GACGAACGCUGGCGGCGUGCUUAACACAUGCAAGUCGAACGAAGAGCGAUGGAAGCUUGCUUCUAUCAAUCUUAGUGGCGAACGGGUGAGUAACGCGUAAUCAACCUGCCCUUCAGAGGGGGACAACAGUUGGAAACGACUGCUAAUACCGCAUACGACCUAACCUCGGCAUCGAGGAUAGAUGAAAGGUGGCCUCUACAUGUAAGCUAUCACUGAAGGAGGGGAUUGCGUCUGAUUAGCUAGUUGGAGGGGUAACGGCCCACCAAGGCGAUGAUCAGUAGCCGGUCUGAGAGGAUGAACGGCCACAUUGGGACUGAGACACGGCCCAGACUCCUACGGGAGGCAGCAGUGGGGAAUCUUCCGCAAUGGACGAAAGUCUGACGGAGCAACGCCGCGUGAGUGAUGACGGCCUUCGGGUUGUAAAGCUCUGUUAAUCGGGACGAAAGGCCUUCUUGCGAAUAGUUAGAAGGAUUGACGGUACCGGAAUAGAAAGCCACGGCUAACUACGUG
rnacentral:rRNA from 1 species